rnacentral:rRNA from 1 species
GAAACCCGGUCGCUAGAUCGAGUGGAGCCAUCCUUGAAAUACCACCCUUGUAUGUUUGAUGUUCUAACACUGACCCGUUAUCCGGGUCGUGGACAGUGUCUGGUGGGUAGUUUGACUGGGGCGGUCUCCUCCCAAAUAGUAACGGAGGAGCACGAAGGUUAGCUAAUCACGGUCGGACAUCGUGAGGUUAGUGCAAUGGCAUAAGCUAGCUUAACUGCGAGACAGACACGUCGAGCAGGUACGAAAGUAGGUCUUAGUGAUCCGGUGGUUCUGUAUG